rnacentral:tRNA from 1 species
UCUGAUAUGGCAGAAAAAUGCAAUGAACUUAAGAUUCAUAAAUAAAAGAUUACUUUUUGUCAGAA